CAAGAGCAUGGUAUCCUGGCAGAUGCAAACUCUUCCUGGGUAAAUUUUCUACUAAGAGGGAGAAAAACUAUUGAGAAAGUAAAUAACAGAAGUGUUGAAACUAAUGACCAAAGUAUACUUGAAAUAAACACACUGAAGACUGAGUUCACAGAAGAUAAGGAUUUCAAGAAAGCAAAUAUUGGGGAAUUAAGAAACUUAGUGAAUAAUAGGUGAUGUAAAGUAUUAAAAUUCACCAAUGUGAAAGAAGGCUGAGGAAUCUCAAACUUCUUAAUUGAGAUUACAAUUCCUCUGAUGAAGAAGAAAUAUGAGAAAAAAAGGCAACAAGUGUGGAUGCACAAGACACUGGGGUCCAAAGAAAUGAGAACCUCCACUAGGAAUGGAAAAGGGAACAAAAGAAGACUAUACCAUACAAAAUUUCAAGGUAAAAGAAGAAAGCUGAGGGCAGCAAAACAAAAAAAUACCAUGAACUUCUUCAUAUUAAGAAGAUAUGUCUACACCAGGGGUUGGCAACCUUUGGGAAGUGGUGUGCCAAGUCUUCAUUAAUUUAAGGUUUCGCAUGCCAGUAAUAAAUUUUACAUUUACAGGGGCCCCCCCGACAGAACCCCAGACUGGCAGCGGACUGAGCGGAACCAGCGGCCAGGACAUUGGCUGGCAGGGGGCUGGGCGGCUGGAACCCCAAACCAGCAGCGAGGGGGAAGCUCUUCCAGUUCCUGGUAGUGAAGGAAGGAGGAUACCAGCAACUGUUCCAGGAGAAACAUGGAACUAUGAGCGUGGGUCUUGGCCAGCAAAUCAAGGAAGAUCUACUUGUGAAAUGGAUGAAGCAUGAGAGUGAUCCCCUUGUUUUCAUGCUAUGGGGCAGAACAAAGGAAGGACCACCUAAGAACUGAAUACCCCUACAACACUUCCCCUUUCCAGGGUCUUCUACAGUGUCUCAGCUUCCGUAAGUCCCAAUACACCUCUAACCAAUGUGCUGCCCUUUGCAAUUUAUGCUGUCUUUGAAAUUAAGAUGCUCUUUUAGAUGCACGGAUACCAUCAUUUGUGCUUGAGAACUUUGAGAGCCUCAAAAGGAAAAUGAUAUCAAAGGGACAACAUCUUUUAUCUAUCUUUUGUUAUUAUUUUUAAAUACACCUGAGCACCUACUUGUUUCCCUAGACUGCUGCAGUACCUUGGACUGAUCUUCUCCACUGAACUAAGGACAGCAGCCGUGAUCUUUCUCCUUAGAGCAUCCUGCAAGUUCAGAACCUAUCAGAAGAGAAUAGAUCUUUCUUCCCCUCCAGUGAGCAUUAUGUUGGAUUUAUCCAAGUUAAAAUGCACUUUCCAUAGUGCUGCUCAAUCUUCCAGUUUCUUUAGAUCCCCUUGGAGGCUCACCAUCCACCAUUCUGACAUAUCUAAAUAUAGCAGUAAGCUGUGAAAUGCCCUAAGUUCUCCUCAUACUCAGCACAGCUGCUCAGGCUGGCACCCAUUGCUAUACACCCUUUAUUGAAGCAUGUGGCUCUGCAUCGGUUUAUGAAAUAGGGUUGAAAUGAAAAAAGAAUAAUUUGAAAGGCCUGCUGUUCUAUGUAACUAACCUGGGGUUUGAGCUGGUUUGAACGAUA